rnacentral:rRNA from 1 species
AGAGUUUGAUUCUGGCUCAGAACGAACGCUGGCGGCGUGGAUAAGACAUGCAAGUCGAACGAGAGAAUUGCUAGCUUGCUAAUAAUUCUCUAGUGGCGCACGGGUGAGUAACACGUGAGUAACCUGCCCCCGAGAGCGGGAUAGCCCUGGGAAACUGGGAUUAAUACCGCAUAGUAUCGAAAGAUUAAAGCAGCAAUGCGCUUGGGGAUGGGCUCGCGGCCUAUUAGUUAGUUGGUGAGGUAACGGCUCACCAAGGCGAUGACGGGUAGCCGGUCUGAGAGGAUGUCCGGCCACACUGGAACUGAGACACGGUCCAGACACCUACGGGUGGCAGCAGUCGAGAAUCAUUCACAAUGGGGGAAACCCUGAUGGUGCGACGCCGCGUGGGGGAAUGAAGGUCUUCGGAUUGUAAACCCCUGUCAUGUGGGAGCAAAUUAAAAAGAUAGUACCACAAGAGGAAGAGACGGCUAACUCUGUGCCAGCAGCCGCGGUAAUACAGAGGUCUCAAGCGUUGUUCGGAAUCACUGGGCGUAAAGCGUGCGUAGGCUGUUUCGUAAGUCGUGUGUGAAAGGCGCGGGCUCAACCCGCGGACGGCACAUGAUACUGCGAGACUAGAGUAAUGGAGGGGGAACCGGAAUUCUCGGUGUAGCAGUGAAAUGCGUAGAUAUCGAGAGGAACACUCGUGGCGAAGGCGGGUUCCUGGACAUUAACUGACGCUGAGGCACGAAGGCCAGGGGAGCGAAAGGGAUUAGAUACCCCUGUAGUCCUGGCAGUAAACGGUGCACGCUUGGUGUGCGGGGAAUCGACCCCCUGCGUGCCGGAGCUAACGCGUUAAGCGUGCCGCCUGGGGAGUACGGUCGCAAGAUUAAAACUCAAAGGAAUUGACGGGGACCCGCACAAGCGGUGGAUGAUGUGGAUUAAUUCGACGCAACGCGAAAAACCUUACCUAGCCUUGACAUGUCAGGAAUCCGGAUGAAAGUCUGGAGUGCCCGCAAGGGAGCCUGAACACAGGUGCUGCAUGGCUGUCGUCAGCUCGUGUCGUGAGAUGUUGGGUUAAGUCCCGCAACG